UGGUACAGUGGUCAAAACGCUUGGCUGCCAGCCAAAAGGUUGGUGGUUCGAACCCACC
rnacentral:tRNA from 1 species